CAUGUAACUACCCCUCUCAGUACUUUGAACUAUUGUUUCAUUUAUUUUACUUCUAUAUACAUUAUUAAUUUUACCUUACAAUUGUAUUAUUUUACUUUAAACAGGCAGUUUUCUUCUGAAGAAAUUAUACCAUAAAAAAACUUUUACACUUACCAAUUUUUUAUUUUUAUUGUUAUGCAUUCGUCCAGGAUGGAAAUGAGUUGCCAUCAUUUUAUACAAGCUCUGAGUUUUUGUCUAGUAUGAUUUUCCUUUGGCCUAAAGUAAUUUCUUCAGUCUGCUGUAAAUACAUUCUGACAGAUUUUACUUAUCUUAAAAUGUAUACAUUUUACCCUUGUUUUGAAGUUUGUUUUUAGUAUAUAUAGAACUCUGGGUUGACAAGUUUUUUGGGUUUGUUUGUUUGUUUUUGCCCACACUCAUUGUUCUGUGGCCUCUCUUUUUUUCUGUUAAGAAGUCUACCAUAAUUUGUAUGAUUAUUCUCCUUUAUGUCUUUUUCUCUGGUUAUUUUCAAGAUCUUGUCUUUCUCUUUGAUUUUUGCUAUUCUGUACCUGUGUGGUUUUCCUUGUAUUUCUCUUGCUGGGGGUAUGCCGAGCUCUUUGGAUUUGUUUGUCAGUGUUUUUAAAUCAUAUGUGGAAAAUAUUGGGCUCUGCUCCUCUCCUCUCCUUUCCUCUCACCUUUUUUCUUUCUUUUUGGGAUAGGGUCUCACUCUGUCACCCAGGCUGGAGUGCAGUGACUUGAUCUCGGCUCACUGCAAACUCCGCCUCCCAGGUUCAAGCUAUUGUUGUGCAUCAGCCUCCCGAGUAGGUGGGAUUACAGGCACCUGCCACUAUACUCAGCUAAUUUUUGUAUUUUUUGGUAGAGAUGGGGUUUCAUCAUGUUGGCCAGGUUGGUCUUGAACUCCUGACCUCAAGUGAUCCACCCAACUUGGCCUCCCAAAGUACUGGGAUUACAGACAUGAGCCACUCACUGCAUCUGACCUGUUAUUUCUUAAAAAAAUUUUUUUUUGCCCUUCCUCAUUCUCUUCUCCCUCUGUUAUUCUAAUUACACCUAGCUUAGACUAUAUGAUAUUGUUCCCCAGGUCCCUGAAAGUCAGUUCAUGUUUUACUUCAGUC
rnacentral:lncRNA from 1 species